UUGAAACACUUGUUCCUAUAUGACCACUGAAGUUAAGUAACAUUGAGCCUGGUCAGUACCAAGAUGGGUGAUGACAUCAGAAUACCAGGUACUGUAU